rnacentral:lncRNA from 1 species
AUCCUUGGCCACAAUUCCUCCAAAGUAAGGACUCUUCCUUAAUGAACAAAAAUCAUAACCUGGAAGGGUAGAGUCAAGAUUGUGGUUUAGAAAUAGCAAAUGUCAUUUCCUCUGUGAAAACUCUUCCAUACCAAUUAAAAACAAAGCUCCCUAAAGAUGACAGAAAACCAAAUACAACAAUAAGACAGAGCUGGGGGACCCUCCUGCUUGAUUCAACUUAAAAGUUAUUUUACAUCUAUAUGCCUCCAAAACUCCUCCAGGAAACUCCAAAGGGUUUAUCUACUCAGUCAAUGAAAAGUUCAAAUCUCAAUUGGUGAAGGAAAGGAAAAAACAUGGAAAUGAUGUCCCAAGGCCUGUCAAGAAAUAGUAUGCAUUAAAUGAACACUCUAAUGCAAAUACCAACAACAUGGAAAUGGGUUUGAAUCAAGAACACAUGUGAUACCCAGUGGAAUGGUGCAUGGGCUAUGGGAGAGGUGGUGGGAGGGGGAGGGAAAAAAAGAAAAUGAUCUUUGUUUCCAAUGAAUAGUGUUUGGAAAUGACCAAAUAAAAUUUUAAAAAUUAAAAAAAAAUAGUAUGCA